rnacentral:rRNA from 1 species
GACGAACGCUGGCGGCGUGCUUAACACAUGCAAGUCGAACGGAAAGGCCUGCUUUUUCUUGUGGAUUGCGGGUACUCGAGUGGCGAACGGGCGAGUAACACGUGAGUGAUUUGCCCCCAACUUGGGUAUAAGCACGGGAAACUGUGUCUAAUUCCCGAUAGGACUGCAGGGUGGUGCCUGUGGUGGAAAACGUUCUUCUAGUGAUUGGGGAUGAGCUCGCGGCCUAUCAGCUUGUUGGUGGGGUAAUGGCCUACGAAGGCGGCGACGGGUAGCCAGAGUGAGAGGGUGGACGGCGACAGUGAGACUGGGACACGGCCCCGACUCCUGCGGGAGGCAGCAAUUGGGACUAUUGGACGGAGAGCGGAAGCCUGAAGCAGCGACGCCGCGUGGAGGAUGACGGCCUGCGAGUUGUAAGCUCCUUUCGAACACGAGGAAGCCACCUGGUUGGGAAGGUGGUGACGGUAGUGGUAGAAGAAGCACCGGCUAACUACGUG